rnacentral:lncRNA from 1 species
UAGUAGCUCGUGUUUCUUUUACCAUCCAUACCACUUGUAGGACCAUGAACUGUGUCAUCACCUGUUUGACUAAUACCAGGUACAGAACUACUCACAUAAACUUUGGCGACAGAUUUGUUAGUUACAACAAUUCGAUCAACAAGACCAGGUUCAAGUAGCUUGUUUUUGAAUUCUUGGAAGCUAAUCUGAAAUUUUACAUCAAGCGUUAAUAAUCAUGAUAAAGCAAAAACAGAUACAGAAAACCAACUAACAAAGAUAAGAUAGAAUUGCCGCCCCUAGAAAAUAAAAACCUGCUUGGUUACGAGUCAUCACUGAGAGCAUUUAAUAUUACACAGAAGUCACACUGCUUCAUUAAUUUCAAAGCCACACUAAAAGAAGUUCUUCAUCAAUAUAAUCCACUUCUAGUUUUUCUUAUUGUUAUUGUUAUAAAUGUCAAGAUAGUCAUUUUGAGUGAUGGCAAUAUAUAACCUAUAUGCAAGGACUAUCAGGUGGGAUGAAAUAGAGUCAGUACUUAGGUCUCCUUUCUCAUUCUUGUAGGUUGCUUUAACAAGUAUACAAUCUUCUAUCCAUGGAAUCAUCACUAAAUUUGUUGAUGAGUUAUUUCAGAGUAAGAAAAAAGUUAUAAUGAAAUGCAGCUGAGGUUAAUUUGCUCGUGUACUUAUUCAAAUUCAAUUAAAAUCUAGCAAUGUUUUCUUGUUCUAGAUGGAUUUGUUUCGCUUCUUAGGAUUAUGCUCUACUAAAGCAAAUAGCUGCUCCAUCUGGAUUUGCAUGUACUGGACAAACAGGUAGUAAUGUCCAUGAACCAGUGUAUGGUAUAAGAACAUAAAUCUGUCAUUGAUCAGUCAACUAUGUAAAAGACAAGCUCAAGUAAUCCAAUACCGAUACACUACAAGUUAAUUAUUUACACGCGCAGGCUGACUAGGAGAGGGUGGAGAAGUAACAGUUGCAGACCAGAAGAACAGUUUUAUAUGCGAACGCUGUAACUUCAUAGCAGUGUUUUAAAAAUAAAUAUCUAGUUAUGCUAAUUCAAAUUUCUUAUUGGGUUCAUGGUGCAUCUGCAAUAAAGCAGCAUGUGCAUUGAUCACUAACAGGCUGAACAAACCUUUUUCUCAUUCUUGGUUUUAGUGAAACCUUACGUGGAGUUUUUUUUUUUUUCUGUGUUUGUUCCUCAGAGAACAUUCAUCUGGAGAAGCUUUUGAAAAACAACUUUUAGACGACUUGAGUUUGAAAUGCUUCUGGGGCAAAUAGUUGUUCAGAAACAAUGAAAAAUACCUGAAUCUGUUUUGGUUUUAGGAAACUUGCUGCCUUUUAUGUCAAUUCUUUUAACAAACCAAACAAUGUUGUUAUAUUUUAAAAUGUUCUUCGAAAAAAAAGUUCCCAAUCAAAUGCCAUCCAAAGCCCAAAAGAAUGCAAGUGAUACCAUCCACAAACACUAACGCCGAAUAGUUAAUCUCAUCACACUGGUCCCCCUCAAAAAUAAGUAGUAUUAACUACUGGACAGCUAAAUCAAUAAAUCAUUUUUUAAUGGGAAUUUUAGGGGUAGCUCUAUCUGGGAAUUUAAGCAGACAACAUUCCAAAAACUAUUAGCGAUUUAAGCCGAUAGCAUUCCAAAAACUACAACAACAACAACAAUACCAGUAUAUUCCCACCAAGUGGGGUCUAGGGAGGGUAAGUGUACGCAGUCAUACCACUACCUCAAAUGUGAGAUACAGAGGCUGUUUCCGAUAGACCCCCGGCUCAAAAUAAAACAAUCUAAGAUAAGAUAAAGAAUAGUAAUAGAACAAGAUACAAUUAAAAUUAAAAUAUUAAAUAAUACCAAAAGCAAGAUACUCCAAGUACACAUCAAAACAUGCAACAUCCUAACGCAGACUAACCUUCUACCCUAAUUCACCUCCUCCACAACUUCCUAUCCAGGGUCAUGUCCUCGGUAAGCUGAAGUUGCUCCAUGUCAUAUCUAAUCACCUCCCUCCAAUAUUUCUUGGCAACUUAGCUUGAAACUAACAACAAUUCGAUCAACAAGACCAGGUUCAAGUAGCUUGUUUUUGAAUUCUUGGAAGCUAAUCUGAAAUUUUACAUCAAGCGUUAAUAAUCAUGAUAAAGCAAAAACAGAUACAGAAAACCAACUAACAAAGAUAAGAUAGAAUUGCCGCCCCUAGAAAAUAAAAACCUGCUUGGUUACGAGUCAUCACUGAGAGCAUUUAAUAUUACACAGAAGUCACACUGCUUCAUUAAUUUCAAAGCCACACUAAAAG